UGGUGCCCGAGUAGCACGGGGCUCGUGGAAUCCUGUGUGAAUCUGCCAAGACCACUUGGCUGCCUGAAUACCUCCUGAUGACCGAUAGUGGAUAGUACCGUGAGGGAAUGGUGAAAAGUACCCCGGGAGGGGAGUGAAAGAGUUCCUGAAACCGUGCGCUUACAAUCCGUCAGAGCACCGUUUGUGUGUGAUGGCGUGCCUUUUGAAGAAUGAGCCUGCGAGUCAGCGGCAUGUCGCGAGGUUAACCCGUUAUGUGGGGUAGUCGUAGCGAAAGCGAAUCCUAAUUGGGUGUUGUAAGUGGCAUGUCCUGGACCCGAAGCGGGGUGAUCU
rnacentral:rRNA from 1 species